rnacentral:lncRNA from 1 species
UUGUUGGCCCAUCAUUUGACACCCUAUAUUCUUAGGAUUCCCAUGCUACUCCUAUAGUGAUCCAAAGGAUUGAUUUCAUUUUUUAGGAGUCCUCUCCUUUAUGAUUUGUCAAGAUCAAUUUUGAUGACAAUGUCAGGGAUGGCAGAGAUGGUGCCAGUUUUAUUAUCCGAGGUUCGGAUGCCAAAUUACUAAUGAUAAAGGG